GUGCUUGCUUCGGCAGCACAUAUCCUAAAAUUGGAAGGAUACAGAGAAGAUUAGCAUGGUCUCUGCACAAGGAUGACACACAAAUUCGUGAAUCAACUCAUCAUAUA